CCCCAGUCUGCAGCUCAGAGAGCAGAGCCUCUUGUUUGGGCUCAGGAGCAGAGAGGAAGGGUUUCCUGUGCUUACCGCUCCUGUUUGCACUCAGCCCAGCCUGAGAGAGCAGCGAGGAGUACCACCUCUGCAGGCUUCCAGAACCUUCCUGAGUGAGGACUGAGCCCCAGACAGUUUACUGGGCAAUUGCAGCAGACGUCACCGUCCACCCCAGGAAAAGGUGAAGACUACCAUGGCGAGAGUCUCCCAAAGGUCAAAGGGAAACACAGGCAGCACCCAGCUGUGAGGGCCCCCCGGGGGCUCAGCGGGCCCUGAGCCCCACGCACUCUUCUGAGAGACGCCCACUGGCCUCCACGCAGUCACUGUCCCCACCCCAAACUCCGAGCUUAGAAGAUGGGCCUCUGCCUUGCUAGCUACCUCUCCUGCCGACUCCCGUCCAGAUUCCACGUCCGCUGACCCUUCGAGGCGAGUGCGGGCGCGUCCCGGCCAGCCCUGGAAGCGGCGCGGUGCUGGUGCUGGUGCUGGCCGGGGGCCGGUGGCCCACAAAGCCAGCUCUCCUGCUACACAGCCUUCUGGCUCUUGUCCCUGGAGUUCCCUUGCCCAUGACUCUGACCUCGAUUUCCACUGUAGGGCAUGGGCAGGGGGCGGGGCCACGCUGUUUACACUCCCUUCCCCCCCAUUCCGGUCGCUGCGCCCAUAGUGAAACAUUUAAGUGCUGACGUUUGUAAACUAAGCACACCCAACGGAAAGGGAAGGAAGCACGCUUUCUACAGGGGGUCUCUGCACCCUCGUGAUGGCAGGAAGUGCAGGGACUGUCGCAGAUGUUGAUGGAGCCACGGUGUCCACAGAAGGUCUGCCUGUGACCUAGUCCAUACACCCAUGUCUGCAGGGUCCCUUUGAGGAGACGAUUGCACCUCGUGGUCUAAAACCGAGAGAAGGAAAGCCCCCCGGGGAAGGGCUCCCGUAGGCACCACCCUCUAGGCUCGGCUGUACCGACACUACAAUGCAGUUUUUAAACCCGUUUGCCUCCAAGACAAUAAAACGUUGUUAUUAUUUUUGGAA